GUAUGACAGUGUGUCUGUGUGUGUAUGUCAGUAUGUCUGUCAUAGACACACACAGACAUACUGACAUACAUACACAAACAGACAU